AUCCGGCUCGGGUUCUCAGGAGCCCGCCAGUGUGCACAGCUCAGAGGCCUGUUUAAUCCAGGUUGGUAUCUGGAGGCUCCGUGAACGCAGUGAUUUUUACCUUUGGCUCAGUGUGGGCGCAGAGAGAACCUGGGAGAAGAGAGCUGGCCGUGACAGAUUGUAGAUACAAAGCUGAACGAGGCCCGUGUGACUGACCUGGAAGCUCCCAGGAGCCUGCUCUGGGGUAAUGGCAUGUCAGGGAAUUUUAAGGGAAGGCCAGGGGAUACUUGGAACUGCGGAGCUUAUGCCAACUGUUUGUCUCCUUGUUGACCACCCUGGCCAUGUGUUACAUAAACUGACCCCAAAGCGCAAGCAUUAGAAAACCUGUGUUUAAGGUCGAGUGUCUGCUGUGUUACUGAGAAGUAUCUGGGCACCCCUUUCUGCCUUCAGACCUGACGGCAUGGGUGGUUCCCUGUGUAUCUGUGAGGGGCAAAAUUGUGACGUGAUUCUCGGCAAGUGCAGGCAAACACUGCCAGCCGGCAAGUGCCAUCCCCUCCGCCC
ensembl:lncRNA